UGGAUAAAUAAAGUUAUUUAAAUCAAUGUGACAUCAAAAUUAUUUCGAUACCUGUAAAAUAUCGGCGUUCGUGUUCAUUUGAAAAUCGCUCGUACAAGAAUCGAAUUUGCCUAAUAGUUGUCAAGACAAGAUAAUUCACAGCUCGCUUUCCAAGUUUAGAGGCAGUUAUGAUCUAGAAUAUGUUUCAAUACGUAAAAAUUGUGAUAAUAUUAUCACUACACCUUGCUACAGCAUUUGGAUAUGGUAUUCAUCAGUACGUAUGGUUGUUAUUGUCAUAACAUGCAGGGGCGGAUCUAGGGAAGCAGAUACUAGAAGAACAUCAUCGCUUUGUUAGCCCUUUCUGUCACUUGCCUGUUCACAUGGUAAAACAAUGACUACAUGCAUCAACUGUGUCUGGGUGUUAUUCGUAAAUUGAUUAUGGUUCGGAUGAAGGGAAAUCGCGCUGCUAAAAUGUCUGUUGCCAACGUAGAGGCUGUUAGUAAAAAAUUGGUGGAGCUUAAACCAUUUAUCCCCUCUACAUUUGUGCGAAAACCUAGGAGUUUAAUGGAGGUUGACAGAUGGAAAGCUACAGAAUUCAGACAGUUUCUUUUGUAUACAGGCAAAAUUUCUUUCAGCCGUCAAUGAAAUCUUAUCAACAAUUUCUAGAAAUUUGCCAGUAUACAGCGAGCUGAU